rnacentral:rRNA from 1 species
GUCUAUGGCCAAGCUAUCCUGAACAAGCCUGAUCCCAUCUGAUUCCGGAAGCUAAGCAGGGUCUGGCCUGGUUAGUACUUGGAUGAGAGACCACCUAGGAAGACUAGGCGCUGUAGGCA